UACGUAGGUCGCAAGCGUUGUCCGGAUUUACUGGGCGUAAAGAGCGCGCAGGCGGCUGGUCAAGUCCGAUGUGAAAGCCCCGGGCUUAACCUGGGAAUGGCAUUGGAAACUGGCGAGCUUGAGUGCGGCAGAGGGGGGUGGAAUUCCGCGUGUAGCAGUGAAAUGCGUAGAGAUGCGGAGGAACACCGAUGGCGAAGGCAGCCCCCUGGGUCGACACUGACGCUCAGGCACGAAAGCGUGGGGAGCAAACAGG
rnacentral:rRNA from 1 species